GAUAACGGCGUCGAGCGGCGGACGGGUGAGUAAUGCCUAGGAAAUUGCCCUGAUGUGGGGGAUAACCAUUGGAAACGAUGGCUAAUACCGCAUGAUGCCUACGGGCCAAAGAGGGGGACCUUCGGGCCUCUCGCGUCAGGAUAUGCCUAGGUGGGAUUAGCUAGUUGGUGAGGUAAGGGCUCACCAAGGCGACGAUCCCUAGCUGGUCUGAGAGGAUGAUCAGCCACAACUGGAACUGAGACACGGUCCAGACUCCUACGGGAGGCAGCAGUGGGGAAUAUUGCACAAUGGGCGCAAGCCUGAUGCAGCCAUGCCGCGUGUAUGAAGAAGGCCUUCGGGUUGUAAAGUACUUUCAGUCGUGAGGAAGG
rnacentral:rRNA from 1 species